rnacentral:rRNA from 1 species
UGGGGAAUCUUCCGCAAUGGACGAAAGUCUGACGGAGCAACGCCGCGUGAGUGAAGACGGCCUUCGGGUUGUAAAGCUCUGUGAUUCGGGACGAAAGGCCAUAUGUGAAUAAUAUAUGGAAAUGACGGUACCGAAAAAGCAAGCCACGGCUAACUACGUGCCAGCAGCCGCGGUAAUACGUAGGUGGCAAGCGUUGUCCGGAAUUAUUGGGCGUAAAGCGCGCGCAGGCGGUCUCUUAAGUCCAUCUUAGAAGUGCGGGGCUUAACCCCGUGAGGGGAUGGAAACUGGGAGACUGGAGUAUCGGAGAGGAAAGUGGAAUUCCUAGUGUAGCGGUGAAAUGCGUAGAGAUUAGGAAGAACACCGGUGGCGAAGGCGACUUUCUGGACGACAACUGACGCUUAGGCGCGAAAGCGUGGGGAGCAAACAGG